UGACUGUUAAUCAUUGGGUCGCAGGUUCGAGUCCUGCUC
rnacentral:tRNA from 12 species